rnacentral:rRNA from 1 species
AUUGAACGCUGGCGGCAGGCUUAACACAUGCAAGUCGAGCGGGGGAAGGUAGCUUGCUACCGGACCUAGCGGCGGACGGGUGAGUAAUGCUCAGGAAUCUGCCUAUUAGUGGGGGACAACAUCUCGAAAGGGAUGCUAAUACCGCAUACGUCCUACGAGAGAAAGCAGGGGAUCUUCGGACCUUGCGCUAAUAGAUGAGCCUAAGUCGGAUUAGCUAGUUGGUGGGGUAAAGGCCUACCAAGGCGACGAUCUGUAGCGGGUCUGAGAGGAUGAUCCGCCACACUGGGACUGAGACACGGCCCAGACUCCUACGGGAGGCAGCAGUGGGGAAUAUUGGACAGUGGGGGGAACCCUGAUCCAGCCAUGCCGCGUGUGUGAAGAAGGCCUUAUGGUUGUAAAGCACUUUAAGCGAGGAGGAGGCUACUUUAGUUAAUACCUAGAGAUAGUGGACGUUACUCGCAGAAUAAGCACCGGCUAACUCUGUGCCAGCCGCCGCCGUAA